GAGGGGGUGCCUUAAAAUAGCGGGCUGAGAACAUACCCAUAGAAUCUGAUCCGGGUAAUGCCGGUGUAGAGAAACUUAUAU
rnacentral:ncRNA from 1 species